rnacentral:lncRNA from 1 species
UUUCUUCAACCAGGAGCACCUAGGCCAUAUCCUGCUCAUUACAUGGAUACAGCAAUUCAGACAUACAGAGAUAUCUGCAAGAAUAUGGUGUUGGCUGAAAGAUGUGUGUUGCUUAGUGCUGAACUUUUAAAAAGCCAAAGCAAAUAUUCAGAGGCUGCAGCUCUCCUAAUACGGUUGACCAGUGAGGAUUCUGAUCUUCGAAGUGCACUUCUUUUGGAACAGGCAGCACAUUGCUUUAUAAACAUGAAAAGUCCCAUGGUUAGAAAAUAUGCAUUUCAUAUGAUAUUGGCAGGCCAUCGAUUUAGUAAAGCAGGGCAGAAAAAGCAUGCUUUACGCUGUUAUUGUCAAGCCAUGCAAGUUUACAAAGGAAAAGGCUGGUCUCUUGCAGAGGAUCACAUUAAUUUCACUAUUGGGCGCCAGUCCUAUACUCUUAGACAGCUGGAUAAUGCUGUGUCUGCUUUUAGGCAUAUUCUAAUUAAUGAAAGUAAACAAUCUGCUGCUCAACAGGGGGCUUUCCUCAGAGAAUAUCUUUAUGUUUACAAGAAUGUAAGUCAGCUGUCACCAGAUGGUCCUUUGCCACAGCUUCCUUUACCGUAUAUUAACAGUUCAGCAACACGGGUUUUUUUUGGCCAUGACAGACGACCAGCGGAUGGUGAAAAACAAGCAGCUACUCAUGUAAGUCUUGAUCAAGAAUAUGAUUCUGAAUCCUCUCAGCAGUGGCGAGAACUUGAGGAACAAGUUGUUUCUGUGGUUAACAAAGGAGUAAUUCCAUCCAAUUUUCAUCCCACACAAUACUGUUUGAACAGUUACUCAGAUAAUUCAAGAUUUCCACUUGCAGUUGUAGAAGAACCAAUUACAGUGGAAGUGGCUUUUAGAAACCCUUUGAAAGUUCUACUUUUGUUGACUGAUUUGUCAUUGCUUUGGAAGUUUCAUCCUAAAGAUUUCAGUGGAAAGGAUAAUGAAGAAGUUAAACAACUAGUUACAAGUGAACCUGAAAUGAUUGGAGCUGAAGUUAUUUCAGAGUUCUUAAUUAAUGGCGAAGAAUCAAAAGUGGCAAGACUAAAGCUCUUUCCCCAUCACAUAGGGGAGCUGCAUAUUCUGGGAGUUGUUUAUAAUCUUGGCACUAUUCAGGGCUCUAUGACAGUAGAUGGCAUUGGUGCUCUUCCCGGAUGUCACACAGGAAAAUAUUCCUUGAGUAUGUCAGUCCGAGGGAAGCAGGAUUUAGAAAUUCAAGGUCCUCGACUUAACAACAC